AACGGUUGGAUGCUAACUGACUGAGCCACCAAGCUACCCCAGCAUGUGAUAUAGUUUUAUUCUUCUAUCCCAAAUAAAAUUUAGUAAAAAGAGAGGGUAUGUUUCCAGAUUUUGACCAAGCAUUUGGAACAUAUGGAUAUGGCAAACCAUAUCUGACAAACGGAGUAACAGCUACUGUGUGAAGAAAAGGCCUGGCUUAAUCCCUCCUUACCAGAAGAGUGAACCAAAAGCAACAUUGUGAAUUAGAGUUUCAUGCCCCUUGG